UUGCUAAACGAUCCGAAGUGUCGGAUAUGGUUAAAUCAUAGAGGUGAUUUUCAAAUCAUUUACUUUUUAUAGAAGGGGCUGACCGGUUUUGACAGCGGGCAGAAGUGGUUUGUAAGCAUGCAGUGCGUCGUUGGCCGGCACUUUAAUCUCGGUUGAUCCAAUUUUAACUGGCGAAAAUAACUACGCUCUCGCUGCUUAAUCGAAGCACAGUAGAUUGAAGCUUAAUCCUUACACAAGGUGUUUGGACGAGACAUCACCCGGAAGCCGUGGCUUCGAGGCAAUCCGAACCGGUGGUGCAGAAAUGUCGGAGAUAGCUUGACGGAUGUCCCGUACGGCAAGUGAAAAUUCAGGGAAUAAGGUUGCGGUGGGUGGCUUCGGUCUUGCCGCAGCACGAAAAUGAAGGCGAAGAUAAGCAUGUAGAAAGCAAAUUAGUUCCUCGUUUGGACGAGAGUUCGAAUCUCUCCAGCUCCACAUUUCGGGCGA
rnacentral:tmRNA from 1 species